UACGUAGGGUCCGAGCGUUGUCCGGAGUUACUGGGCGUAAAGAGCGCGCAGGCGGUCGUUCAAGUCGCGUGUGAAAGCCCCCCGGCUCAACUGGGGAGGGUCACGCGAUACUGAUCGACUCGAAGGCAGGAGAGGGAAGUGGAAUUCCCGGUGUAGUGGUGAAAAUGCGUAGAUAUCGGGAGGAACACCAGUGGCGAAGGCGACUCUCGUGCCUGUUCUUGACGCUGAGGCGCGAAAGCUAGGGGAGCAAACGGGGAUUAGAAACCG
rnacentral:rRNA from 1 species